AGUCCUCUUUCCUUUAGACCAUCUCUCACCUGGCCUCUAUCAUGGAAAGACCCAAUGUGGAUAAGUGAAGCCAGAGCCGUAACAUUUCCCUAGCCACUCCUGGGCCAUCGGAAGAGACUCUUCUGGAAUGCCUGUCAUUGUCAACAUCAAAAACUCGCCGCCUUUGCUCUGGCAGCACCUGCCUUAUUGAUUGGCGUCUUCUGAGCAAGUCACUCACAGAAAGCCUGUAGGACUUCAAACGCAAGUCACAGCAGCCUGCUGUGAUAGAUCAUUUCGCUCCAUAACAUCUCAGGGAAGAUCAGCUUUCCAGAUCCACCAAGGGACCUGCACUCUGCACCACCCCAGAUGCUGCGAGCACCCUGAAACUGAAGCACUGGUAGCCAUCUUUCUGGGGCGGAGAAAACAAAAAGAAAGAGAGAAAUCAAGCUUCUUUUCCUAGUUCACACUCGAGAAUCCACAGAGCAGGGAGUUGGAGGCUGAUGUCUCUGCUAUAAAGUGGUUUCUGUUUCCACCCUGUGUUUCACCUACAGGGGUCGCCAGAGCUUCUCAUCGCCCCAGGCAGAAGACUCUCCUCCCUCAGUUCCUCUGUCCCUUCCUCCUUACCCCCCUCCUUUCCUCCUUCUCUCCCUCCUUGUUUUUGAUGAUGUUUUGUUUUGUUUUCUUGAGACAAGGUCUCCUAUG